GAAGCCACCGCGCCUCCAUCUUGGCACAAUCUCCCCCAACCAGGGACGUCACUAGAUAUUCAUGGUUAGGGGGGCUACGCCACUUUUAGGGGGGUCUGGAAUACUCCCUGUCCGUUUAUUGUUAGCUAGCAGUCUCAAGCCACAGAAGUAACUAACAUUAACUGAAAUGCUAGCUACAAGUAGGCCUAACGGUGCAUGUAUACUAGAUAGUGGUAAAUUGCCGUGUGCCGCUUAGGCCGCCCAUUGUGACAGCAUAUAGCAGCUUUUCGAUUGUACGUCAAGAAUUCAGAAUAGCAAGUUUGUAUAAAGUUCUGGUUAUUACAUGGGUACAUAGCUCAAUAGUAAUAUCCUCUAAAACGCUCUGGUGACAAACAAACUUUGCUGCCCUGUUUCCAAUUGUCCACAUGGCUGGGAGAACCAAUUCAAAGACCUUGUAACUGGAGAUUCCUUCAAAACGAUUGCCUACAGUUAACAUAUAGGGCACUGCAAGGUUGGGUGACCAGGGCCAUCUGGGACUGCCUCAUGGGGGAAUUCAGGUGUGUGAAGGCUACCUGUGUCCUGCAUAACUUAAUGAGGAUGGACUCGAGGACCAGGAGAGGAUCUGCAGCUUGCCGCCGUGUGCCAGAGUAGAAGUCUGCUGCUCUGCAGGAUGUUAAGGAUUGGGUCCAACAACGCAACAAGAGAGGCAAUCCAUGUGCGGGAGAUCUUCACCUCCUAAUUCUUUGAAGAGGGUGCUGUUCCCUGGCAACACCAUAGACUAUACUAUGCACAACCAACGGCUCUUUUAAGAGCCAUUCACAUUGCAAUGAGAGUAUUCUUCCAUUUACUUAGCUAUGUCAAUUGCAGUUAUUGAAUUCACAGUUUCUCUCCCUUUUGAUUUCUACUUCUCAGGUGAGGGUGCUGUUUAGCUAAGGGUAUGAUGUCUGUACAAAAACAAAACAGGCUAUUUUAAAUCACCCAUAUUGAUUUUUUUUUUUAACAAUUAGACACCCUAUAACCCCCACACUCAUGUAUCAAUCUGAUUGAUGGAUGGUGUUGUGCAGUAAGCAGACUCGGGUGUAUAACUGUUGCUUCUUCCACAUUCAAAGAAUAGGCAAGAGGGCCAACCAUGGAGAAUAGUAAGACACUUCAUUAUUUCUAUAACUACGCUAGAUUGUUUGUCCUCGUGUGUCCGUUCAUGUUUUUCAGCAUAAAGUACUCUGCAGCCACUUAGUGUGGUGUGGACACCAGGUGAGGCCACACCAGAAUUCCUGUUGAAAACUGUCGCUUUUAUCUACCUUAUUUUCUCAAUAAGUCACUCUCCUUCACUUCAUCCCUUUCUCUUCUUCUCCCUAAAUCCUCUAGGUUAUAUCAGCUGUGUCGGUGAACCCCUCCUGCAUCUGAACUGGCUACAUGGAGGGCUCAGCAUGAUCAGAGAGACAGAUGGAGAUGCCAAUCCUGGAGAUGCCAAUCCUGGGGAUGCCAAUCCCCAGUCCUAUCAUCGCCAUCUCACCCGCUUUUAAGAUGAGUAUCUCUCGACAGCCCAAAGGUUAUGUAAUUGUGAUGAACUGAGAAUAUUUAGGUAGCACUGUGAUUCAUUAAUCAUAUGCUGCCUUCCCUGCUCUUAUGUUUGACCUCUUUCCCUUUGUCUUUUACACCUCUCUCUUUCUUCCUCUGUUUUUAUAAUGCACAACAGAUGUGCAUUGAAGUACAGAUUGAACUUGUAUUUAUAAUAUUACAAUUAUAAUAUUUAUAAUGCAUGUAUUUAUAACACUUGGAUAAUGAGCUUUUCAAUAAAGAAUUUUACAUUCUCUA